rnacentral:rRNA from 1 species
UACGGAGGGUGCAAGCGUUGUUCGGAUUUACUGGGCGUAAAGCGCGCGCAGGUGGGUGAACAAGUCGGAAGUGAAAUCUUGAGGCUCAACCUCGAGGCUGCUCCGAACUGUUCGCCUAGGACUGGUAGAGGCUGGUAGAAUUCCGGUGUAGCGGUGGAAUGCGUAGAGAUCGGAAGAAUACCUGUGGCGAAGCGGCAGCUGGCCAGAUCGACACUGAGCGCGAAGCGUGGAGCAACAGG